UACGUAGGGUGCGAGCGUUGUCCGGAAUUAUUGGGCGGAAAGGGCUCGUAGGCGGUUUGUCGCGUCGGGAGUGAAAACCUUGGGCUUAACUCAGGGCUUGCUUUCGAUACGGGCAGACUAGAGGUAUGCAGGGGAGAACGGAAUUCCUGGUGUAGCGGUGAAAUGCGCAGAUAUCAGGAGGAACACCGGUGGCGAAGGCGGUUCUCUGGGCAUGAUCUGACGCUGAGGAGCGAAAGUGUGGGGAGCGAACAGG
rnacentral:rRNA from 1 species